UGACUCCCCACCCUCCGCUUCCUCUGCCGCCGGCAUUUUCUUUCUUAUUAUUGAAUGUUAAGUGUAAAAAUAACUUCUAUAUUUUCUAUUUUUUUUCUCUCUUAUUCCAGGAAGAGCAACCGAGGUUUCAAUCUGCGGCUGACAAACGGGCUCAUCAUAAUGCACUGGAACGAAAACGUAGGGACCACAUCAAAGACAGCUUUCACAGUUUGCGGGACUCAGUCCCAUCACUCCAAGGAGAGAAGGCAUCCCGGGCCCAAAUCCUAGACAAAGCCACAGAAUAUAUCCAGUAUAUGCGAAGGAAAAACCACACACACCAGCAAGAUAUUGACGACCUCAAGCGGCAGAAUGCUCUUCUGGAGCAGCAAGGUGAGCACCCGAGCUCGUGGGGCAGCUGGCCCUGCUGUGCUCCAGCCAGGUCAGGCUUUGGCACCUGGGCCUGCAGAGUCAGAGCCAGUCAUGGAGUAUGUGCUCAGUAGCAGGCUUGGUCCUGCUUCUUGGGGCCUGAGUAACUGAGUGUUAGAGCCGUCCUGAGGAAGGACCUGAGGUGCCAGUGAGGAGACAGUGGAAGCUAGGAAGUUGGACAUCUGGAGACUUGUAUCUUUUCUGGCCUGACCUCUCCCCUUCUUGGGGCUCAGGUGCUCUGCCUGCAGUAGGGAUCACACCUGGCAUCAGGUGUCUGAAAAGAGCUUUGAGGUCCUUGGAGUGGAAUGUGCUGUAUAAGUACCAGAGACUCCAGGUGUUCAGGGACAGUGAGCCCUCCCCAUUGUCAAUGGUAGUCCAAUCAGGGCAGCCUAUGGGCUAGGCCCAUGCUGUUCUCAAUGCUCACACCCGCCUUUUCCUACAACCACAGGGGAAAGCGAGAGCUGAUCAAGUUCUUUGUUCCUGGGGAAUUCACUUCUCUUCCUCCCUCAUGGAAGAUGCAAGUAAAAGGAAAUGCAAGUAACCACCUGGGUUAGAAAACCUCAAAUAAAAUAAAAUAAAAUAAAAUAAAAUAAAAUAAAAUAAAUGGGUUGACCUUCCAGGCUCAAGCUGAGCUGAACCAAGGGAUGGGCAGUGGGUGGUGUCAGUGGGUUGGUUACUGGGCCAGGCAGCCUGCAUGUA
rnacentral:sRNA from 1 species